rnacentral:rRNA from 1 species
UGGGGAAUAUUGCACAAUGGGCGCAAGCCUGAUGCAGCAACGCCGCGUGAACGAUGAAGGUCUUCGGAUCGUAAAGUUCUGUUGCAGGGGAAGAUAAUGACGGUACCCUGUGAGGAAGCCCCGGCUAACUACGUGCCAGCAGCCGCGGUAAUACGUAGGGGGCUAGCGUUAUCCGGAUUUACUGGGCGUAAAGGGUGCGUAGGUGGUCUUUCAAGUCGGUGGUUAAAGGCUACGGCUCAACCGUAGUUAGCCUCCGAAACUGGAAGACUUGAGUGCAGGAGAGGAAAGUGGAAUUCCCAGUGUAGCGAUGAAAUGCGUAGAUAGUGGGAGGAACACCAGUAGCGAAGGCGGCUUUCUGGACUGCAACUGACACUGAGGCACGAAAGCGUGGGUAGCAAACAGG